UGCCUAACACAUGCAAGUCGAGCGCCCCUUCGGGGGAGCGGCGAACGGGUGAGUAACACGUUGAUACCUACCCCUAAGUGAGGGAUAACCUAUCGAAAGGUAGCUUAAUACCGCAUGUGCCCAAUAUGGGUAAAGCUUUAUGCGCUUAGGGAGGGGUCUGCGCACUAUCAGCUAGUUGGUGAGGUAAUGGCUUACCAAGGCUACGACGGUUAGCUGGUCUGAGAGGACGACCAGCCACAAUGGGACUGAGACACGGCCCAUACUCCUACGGGAGGCAGCAGUGAGGAAUUUUGCGCAAUGGGCGAAAGCCUGACGCAGCAAUGCCGCGUGGAGGAUUAAGGCCUUCGGGUUGUAAACUCCUUUUAUAAGUGAAGAAUUUUGACAGUAACUUAUGAAUAAGUCACGGCUAACUACGUGCCAGCAGCCGCGGUAAUACGUAGGUGGCAAACGUUAUCCGGAAUUAUUGGGCGUAAAGGGUCCGUAGGCGGUCAUAUAAGUUGAGUGUAAAAUCUCCCGGCUCAACCGGGAAAUCGUACUCAAAACUAUAAGACUAGAGUAUGUCAGAGGUUAGCGGAAUUCUAGGAGUAGGGGUAAAAUCCGUUGAUACCUAGAGGAACACCAAUAGCGAAGGCGGCUAACUGGGACAUUACUGACGCUCAGGGACGAAAGCGUGGGGAGCGAAAAGGAUUAGAUACCCUUGUAGUCCACGCCCUAAACGAUGAACACUAGGUUUUUGAGAGAAUCGACCCUCUUGAGAACCGUAAGCUAACGCGUUAAGUGUUCCGCCUGAGUAGUACGAGCGCAAGCUUAAAACUCAAAGGAAUAGACGGGGGCCUACACAAGCGGUGGAGCGUGUGGUUUAAUUCGAUGAUAAGCGGGGAACCUUACCAAGGCUUGACAUUCUUCGAAUUCCUCAGAAAUGAGGAAGUGCCCUUUAUUAGGAGCGAAGUAACAGGCGCUGCAUGGUUGCCGACAGCUCGUGUCGUGAGAUGUCCAGUUAAUUCNNUUAACGAGCGCNACCUUUGUCCCUAUGUUGUAUUUUUCACAGGAGACUGCCCGGGCAACCGGGAGGAAGGAAGAGAUGACGUCAAAUCAGCAUGGCCCUUAUGCCUUGGGCUACACACGCGCUACAAUGGCCGGUACAACGGGGACGCAAUGUGGUAACACGGAGCAAAUCCUAAUAAAACCGGUCUAAGUUCGGAUUGAGGGCUGAAAUUCGCCCUCAUGAAGUUGGAAUCGCUAGUAACCGGGAAUCAGCACGUCCCGGUGAAUAUGAGAGGUAGGCCUUGUACUCACCGCCCGUCAUGGCACGAGAGUUGGAAAUAUCCAAAG
rnacentral:rRNA from 1 species